rnacentral:rRNA from 1 species
UAAUGCCGGAUGCUCCAGUUGAUCGCAUGGUCUUCUGGGAAAGCUUUCGCGGUAUGGGAUGGGGUCGCGUCCUAUCAGCUUGACGGCGGGGUAACGGCCCACCGUGGCUUCGACGGGUAGCCGGCCUGAGAGGGCGACCGGCCACAUUGGGACUGAGAUACGGCCCAGACUCCUACGGGAGGCAGCAGUGGGGAAUAUUGCACAAUGGGCGCAAGCCUGAUGCAGCGACGCCGCGUGAGGGAUGGAGGCCUUCGGGUUGUAAACCUCUUUUAUCGGGGAGCAAGCGAGAGUGAGUUUACCCGUUGAAUAAGCACCGGCUAACUACGUGCCAGCAGCCGCGGUAAUACGUAGGGUGCAAGCGUUAUCCGGAAUUAUUGGGCGUAAAGGGCUCGUAGGCGGUUCGUCGCGUCCGGUGUGAAAGUCCAUCGCUUAACGGUGGAUCCGCGCCGGGUACGGGCGGGCUUGAGUGCGGUAGGGGAGACUGGAAUUCCCGGUGUAACGGUGGAAUGUGUAGAUAUCGGAAAGAGAACACC